GAUUCCCUUAGUAACGGCGAGCGAACAGGGAACUGUCCAGCGCCAAGUCUUGACACUYCGGUGCUCAAGAGAUGCGGCGUUAAUGUGUUGGUGCAUCGUGYGYCGUUCCACGUUUCAAGUUCCUUUGACAGGGACAUCCAGAGCGGGUGCUAGGCCCAUAGARACGAGGRRCUGRCRCAUGCCGGCCAAUGCAUUCUARAGUCAGGUUGCUUGAGAGUGCAGCCUAAAGUCGGUGGUAAACUCCAUCCAAGACUAAAUAUGACAGCGAGACCGAUAGCAAACAAGUACCGUGAGGGAAAGUUGCAAAGCACUUUGAAGAGAGAGUUCAACAGAACGUGAAACCACUGGUGGGCAAACAGAUGGCACCACGAAGUUGCGCCCCGGUCGAUUCAAUCACCGCCGUCGGUUGCAGAGGCUGGCCAGGAUCUCCUYGGAGGUUGGACCAGCYUUCAAGACUGGCGACGGUGGUGCAUUUCGUGCCGGGGAUGCUAAGCCACGUUCGACUAGAGUUGGGACGGCCGUAGGACAGGGCUCGGAAAAGGUGCCCGUCAAGUGCUUGCAUUUGGCGGCGUUAUAGUUCCGRACCGGCACCGUCGCCUAACACACUGGUCGAUGAAAUUUCUCCUUGCGGAGUUGAACCGCGUUUGCCUGGGGCCUUUAGUCGGCGUUUCGAGGUGUUCUUUACGUGUCCUUGGAUGCGAAAAGCCGCUUCAAUGAUGUCGGCUAGUGGUCKCUUGCGUUGCGUGGUAGAACUGUGGCGCGAGUAGGUCGGUCUCCAUCUGACCCGUCUUGAAACACGGACCAAGGAGCCUAUCAUAUACGCGAGUCGCUCGGUCUUGUUUAGGCCCGGGAGGCGCAAUGAAAGUAAAACUACGAGACUUUGGUCGCAGUAGUGGCUCGCCCACUUCGUUUAUUGGCGAUAUGGCGAAGCUGGAGCGUAUACGAUGGUACCCGAAAGAUGGUGAACUAUGCCUGGGCAAGACGAAGCCAGAGGAAACUCUGGUGGAGGUCUGUAGCGAUUCUGACGUGCAAAUCGAUCGUCAGACCUGGGUAUAGGGGCGAAAGACUAAUCGAACCAUCUAGUAGCUGGUUCCCUCCGAAGUUUCCCUCAGGAUAGCAGGCGCUUGUUUUCUCAGUCUCAUCCGGUAAAGCUAAUGAUUAGAGGUCUUGGGGUUGAAACGACCUCAACCUAUUCUCAAACUUUAAAUGGGUGAGAUGGUUGACUUGCUUGAUUGAAGCCAACCAUUUGGAUGUGAGUGCCUAGUGGGCCAGCUUUGGUAAGCAGAACUGGCGCUGUGGGAUGAACCAAACGUCGAGAUAAGGCAUCAAACGCAUACGCUCAUCAGACCCCAUGAAAGGUGUUGGUUGCUAUAGACAGCAGGACGGUGGCCAUGGAAGUCGGAAUCC
rnacentral:rRNA from 2 species